UACGGGGGGAGCAAGGCGUUGCUCGGAAUCACUGGGCGUAAAGCGCGUGCAGGUGGUUUGGUAAGUCGGGUCAUGAAAACUCUUGGCUCAACUAAGAGGCGCUGUCCGAUACUGCUGAACUUGAGGGUGUGAGAGGGAGGUGGAAUUCCGCAUGUAGUGGUGAAAUGCGUAGAUAUGCGGAGGAACACCAGUGGCGAAGGCGGCCUCCUGGCACACUCCUGACACUCAUACGCGAAAGCUAGGGGAGCGAACGGG
rnacentral:rRNA from 1 species